rnacentral:rRNA from 1 species
GUGGGGAAUAUUGCGCAAUGGGCGAAAGCCUGACGCAGCAACGCCGCGUGGGUGAUGAAGGCCUUCGGGUCGUAAAGCCCUGUCGGGUGGGAAGAACCCUCCUCGCAAGGGGAGCUGACGGUACCACCAAAGGAAGCACCGGCUAACUCCGUGCCAGCAGCCGCGGUAAUACGGAGGGUGCAAGCGUUGUUCGGAAUCACUGGGCGUAAAGGGCGCGUAGGCGGCUCACUCAGUCCGAUGUGAAAGCCCGGGGCUCAACUCCGGAAGUGCAUUGGAAACUGGUGGGCUUGAGUUCGGGAGAGGAGGGCAGAAUUCCCGGUGUAGGGUUGAAAUCCGUAGAUAUCGGGAGGAAAACCGGUGGCGAAGGCGGCCCUCUGGAACGAAACUGACGCUGAGGCGCGAAAGCGUGGGGAGCAAACAGGAUUAGAAACCCCUGUAGUCC